UUGUUUAUUAGAUUAUAUGUAAGUGUACACCUUUGUAAACAAGCUAUACAUAGGAAGCAAAAUUUUCAAAAAUCUUGUGAAAUAAGAUGUGAUCGGUAUAGUAAAAUAUGACAAAGGUAGAAAAAUCACUCUAAUUCGACAGUGUUUGGGUCCUGAUCAAAGCGGUUAACCCUAAUUACGCUUAUGCUUCCCUAUGGGGAGCCCUAUCCUCGGGAGGUAAACGUUCCCAGAUUUUUACUUGGGCGGCUACAUCUCAAAUAUGUAAGAGUGCGUGUGCGGAAGAAUCAACCAAAAUAGGUCACAGAGGGGUAAGUAAGAGCAUUUUCGUGUGAUAAGUGACUUAAAAUAGGGUUGACCGCUUCGAUCAAACCCCGAACGUUACCGAAUAGAGUUGAAUUUUCUACUAUAGUCAUAUUUAUCUAUAAUGAUCACAUCAGAUGGUCAAAUUUGGAUUUUGUGAAUUUUAAGCAUUGGAAUCACAACGUGCCUACUAAUGUAGUAUAACUUGCUUAGUAGCUUAUAUGCAAUUGUAAAUCAUUGUAACCAACUAUAAAGAGGAAGCAAAAUUUUCAAAAAUCUUGUAAAAUAAGAUGUGAUCGAUAUAUCGAAAUACGGCUAUGAUAGAAAAAUCACUCUAAUUCGACAAUGUUUGGGUCCCGAUCAAAGCGGUCAAUCCUAAUUACGCUUAUGCUUCCUAUUGGGAGCCCUAUCCUCGGGAGGUAAAUGUCCCUAAAUUUUUACUUGGGCGGCUACAUCUAAAAUAUGUGAGAGUGUAUGCGCGGAAGAAUCAACCAAAAUAAGUAAAAGAGGGGUAGAUAAGAGCAUUUUCGUGUGAUAAGUGACUUGAAAAUAGGGUUGACCGUUUUGAUCAAGCCCCGAAUGUUACCGAAUAGAGUUGAAUUUUCUACCAUAGUCAUAUUUAUCUAUAAUGAUCACAUCAGAAGGUCUAAUUUUGAUUUUGUGAAUUCUAAGCAUUGGAAUCACAACAUGUCUACUAAUGUGGUAUAACUUGUUUAGUAGCUUAUAUGCAAAUGUAUAUCAUUGUAAACCAACUAUAAAGAGGAAGCAAAAUUUUUAAAAAUCUUGUGAAAUAAGAUGUGAUCGAUAUAGCGAAAUACGGCUAUAGGAGAAAAAUCACUCUAAUUCGACAAUAUUUGGGUCCCGAUUAAAGUGGUCAACCCUAAUUACGCUUAUGCUUCUCUAUGGGGAGCACUAUCCUCAGGAAGUAAACGUUCACAAAGUUUUACUUGGGUGGCUACAUCUCAAAAAUGUGAGUGUGUGCGCGGAAGAAUCAACCAAAAUAGGUCACAGAGGGGUAGGUAAGAGCAUUUUCGUGUGAUAAGUGACUUGAAAAUAUGGUUGACCGCUUCGAUCAAGCCACAUUACUGAAUAGAGUUGAAUUUUCUACCAUAGUCAUAUUUAACUAUAGUGAUUAUAUCAAACGGUCGAAUUUUGAUUUUGUGAAUUUUAGGCAUUGGAAUCACAACGUGCACACUAAUGUGUUAUAACUUGUUUAGUAACUUAAAAAAAAAAAAAAUUCUCUUAUUAAAUAAUUCACACAUCUUAUAGGUUUAUAUGUCAAUGAUGUAUAAACCAAGAUACCUUAAAGUUUUUAGUUAACCACCUUAACUAAAAUCGACAAUAACUUAUAUACAAAUUUACAUAAAAUUUU
rnacentral:lncRNA from 1 species